rnacentral:lncRNA from 1 species
GUGCGGUUUGAUAAGAAGGCAGAGAUCCAGUUAAGUGUUUCAUUUUGAAUACCGUAGAAAUGUAGUUUAUAUAAGAGUCUUUGAUGUGGGACUUUGUCAAAGGCUUUGGCAAAGUCCAUAAUCACAAGGUCUGUUUGGGUGUUAUUGUCUGAAUUUGAAGCUAGUUCUUGUAUGAAAGAUAGAAGUUGUGUUUCACAUGAUCUAGAGUGUCUGAAGCCGUGCUGAAGGUCGUAUAAUAGAUUGUUUUUUUCUAGGUGGUUAAUUAGGUGUUUAGUAAUGACAUGUUCCAUUAGUUUGCAACUGAUACAAGUGAGAGAGAUUGGUCUGUAGUUGACUGCGUUGUAUUUUUCCCCUUUUUUGUAUGCUGGUGCGACAUUUGCAUGUUUCCAGUCGGAUGGUAUACAGCCAGUUGUAAGUGAUUUUUGGAAAAUAAUGGUGAGGAUUGGUGCCGUAAUGUUUUGAAGUUGUUUUAGUACUCUGCCGCUGAUGUUAUCUGGGCCAGUGGCUUUGUGCGGAUUGAUGUUGUGUAAGAGUUUUUGUAUGCCAGGUGUGGUAAUUGUGAGUGAUGGUAUGACUGGAUGGGGACUUGGUCCUUUAUCAGGCAUAUUAUCUGUUGUUUCAGUGGUAAAGACUGAUUGAAACUGCUCAUUUAAAAUGUUGGCUUUUUGUUUUGUAUCAGUUGUUAAUUGGCCCUCUUUUUUUAGGGGAGAAACUCCACUAUUGUCAGUUCUGAUUGAUUUAAUAUAGGAAAAGAGUUUCUUUGGUUUUGAUUGGUUGCUGUAACUUAGGUCUGGGUCAUUUGUUGGAAGGUCAAGGAUCAUUUUUUCUAUAUAUGUACAAUAUGCACGUCUCUGUUCUUGUUGAACUUGUUGUUUUAGUUUUUUUAUAUUUUACUAUAUGCUUUUUGUCCUUUUUCAUUUUAGAGUACAAUUUAUUCUUUUUAUUUAUCAUUUUUCUGAGUUUGUUGUGCACCCAGGGAAGUCGAUGUUUAUACGUUAACAUUUUAUGUGGGAUGUUUGUAUCUAUUGAUUUUGUGAUAUUGUUUUUAAAUAAAUCCCACAUUUCAUUAAUAGUACUAUUGUUGUUAUUGUUCAUAAUAGUAAGCUCUUCUAGUGUUUUUUGUAGGUCUGCUUCUAUAUUUUCCCAGUUUGCUUUGUCAUAUUUUAGUAUUUUUCUGGGAUGUUGUCUAACUUUUCGAAGCCAAGUGUCUGUUUCUAUGUAGACGAUGUCGUGGUCACUUAGUCCUAGUGGUGGUAGUGUGUUUACUUUGUUGACAGUUGUUGGAUUGUUAACUAAGAUUAAGUCUAGUAUUCUUUCUUUUCUAGUUGGUGUGUUAACUAUUUGUUGAAGGUUAAAAUUUUCUAGUAGUUCUAAAAGUUUAUUGUGAUGUUCAGCAUCCGGUUUACCGGGUAUGACCUGAGGUAUAGACCAGUCAAUAUGACCUAAGUUAAAGUCACCACCAACCAUGAUAUUAGUAUUUGAUGAUUGGUUAAUUCUACUAAGUGAUAGUUCUAGUUGUUGUAAAGAUGUUCCUUUAUCUGAUGGUGGUCUGUAAUAUGCACCUACUAAUAAG